AAAUUGAAGAGUUUGAUCAUGGCUCAGAUUGAACGCUGGCGGCAGGCCUAACACAUGCAAGUCGAACGGUAGCACAGAGAGCUUGCUCUCGGGUGACGAGUGGCGGACGGGUGAGUAAUGUCUGGGAAACUGCCUGAUG
rnacentral:rRNA from 2 species